UCAGUUUAUAAAUACAAGGGGGAUUUAAGCAGAAGAGGUUUAUUCUGCAGCAGGAUUAUCCCCUAAACGUGGCAUGUAAAGAAAAAAAAAAACAACACCUUCCCCAGCCUCACCCCAGGGACAGGGUCUUACAUGCAGCAAUGGGUUAGUGCAUAAAGUGGAGAGAGGAAGGGUGCCGGAAUAAUACUCAGUCAUGCUGGGAUCCCCUCUACUUGCAGAAACACGCCUGCAUGACGGCAGUAAAAAUCAAAAUAAGACAAAUAAAUAAGAAAAAAACAAAAAAAAAAAACCAUGCAAUGCAGAACUCUGCUAGAGCUGUAACGCUGAGGCAGCGGGCUGGGUUUUAUUACCGUGAGGAAAUCACACGAGCUUCAUCUCUCUCCCUCCUUGCCUGCUGUGCAGCCUCUCGCUCUCUCCCAUCCCUCCUCUCCCUCCCCUUCGGCUCCGCAGCAGGGCUGGGGUGGGUGGCGCUGCGGGUGGGGCGAGCAGCCCCCCGUUUCCCUCCCCACCUUGGGCUCCCCGGGCUGGGAUCCCCAGGGCUGCAUCAUUGGCAUGCAGCGCCCGGCAGGACUGCAUCACUGCUAGAGGAGAUGCCGGCUCCGAGCCUCCCGCUGCCGCACGCCCCGCUGCGCCGCGCAGCCAGCAGCACCGGACACGACUCGGGGUGCCCAAGGCUUACAGAGCAAGCAAAGCACAGCUGCUUUUUCACGUCCUUUGAAGUAUAUCAGAUACUGCUCAUCAGCAGCGCGGAGCUCAGGGACAAACAGACCAGCAGCACGAGCCAACGUGGCUGGUAAGUUCCUGCAAAUUAUAUCGAAUGUGUUAAGAAAAAUCAGACAGGAUGCCUGAGCUAGGAAGGAGCCAGGAAGGGCAGGGAAGCUUUGGCACCUUCCAGCAGAGAAAGUUAGCGGUGUCUCGACCACCUGCAGCAGCGCAGCUGGCGAUUUGUCAGGGUCGUGUCAGAACGACUCUGAAAGGAUCUAAUCCAUGGCCAGGGGCAGGUGCUGAGGGUGCUGUGCAGAAGCAUCAGCAGUUCUGCCUUCACUUGGCAACCAGGGUUACUCUACCAGAAGAAAUCAGCGCGGUCCGCGAGCCAAGGGAGCUCUCUGCGUGAUGUCAGGCUGCGGGGAAAGCCCCCGCUGCAGGGAGCUGCGGGCAUCGCUUCCCUCCUGCCACGCACGUGGGAUGGGGGGCAGAAAGAGAAGCCAGGUAAAAAAUUCCCUGCCUGUCCUGUGGGCUGUGUCACCACAGAGUGGCUUUCAGAGCGAGGAGGGCACCCCAGAUGAGCUGGACAGAAGCGGGCAUUGGACCGGAGGAACAGCACUGAGGCUCCCUAGGGAUUACAGGGGGCAAGCAUGAGGGAUGGCUUUGGGUUCAUGGAGCCCUGCUACGUUUUGCAGUCCACUGCUUGAGUGACACCCUUGGACUGAUGCCCUCUGUCCGACCAUGGUGGAUUUCCCUCAGACUUUAUAGCACUCAGACACAGCAGCAGUCUUUCUGAGAAAGAAAUGUUUUCUCAGCUUCCAGCAAGAGACUCAAUUGUAAGAAGGCAGGUGGUUAUUUCCCAGAGAUCCUGCUCAUUUCACAGUUGAAUUUCCAAGGAUAUCACUUUCAGAGAGGAAAUGUCUACAAUCUUCUCGACCUUAUAUCAAAUUCCAGUACCCCAAAUUCAGGCACCAUGCAGCAGUUGGUGAGCAGAGACCUCCUGCAGAGCCUGGGUUUCCUGGAUGUCCUCGAUGGGGACAGCUGGGCAGGUGGCACUUAGGAAGCAUGUAAAGCUGUCACCUGCACUUUCUA
ensembl:lncRNA